UACGUAGGGUGCGAGCGUUAAUCGGAAUUACUGGGCGUAAAGCGUGCGCAGGCGGUUUUGUAAGCCAGAUGUGAAAGCCCCGGGCUUAACCUGGGAAUGGCAUUUGGGACUGCAAGGCUUGAGUGCGGCAGAGGAGACUGGAAUUCCCGGUGUAGCGGUGAAAUGCGUAGAGAUCGGGAGGAAGGCCGGUGGCGAAGGCGGCGCUCUGGAACAUUUCUGACGCUGAGGCUCGAAAGCGUGGGGAGCAAACAGG
rnacentral:rRNA from 1 species